rnacentral:rRNA from 1 species
UGGGGAAUAUUGGACAAUGGGCGAAAGCCUGAUCCAGCAAUGCCGCGUGAGUGAUGAAGGCCUUAGGGUUGUAAAGCUCUUUUACCCGGGAUGAUAAUGACAGUACCGGGAGAAUAAGCCCCGGCUAACUCCGUGCCAGCAGCCGCGGUAAUACGGAGGGGGCUAGCGUUGUUCGGAAUUACUGGGCGUAAAGCGCGCGUAGGCGGCUUUGUAAGUUAGAGGUGAAAGCCCGGAGCUCAACUCCGGAACUGCCUUUAAGACUGCAUCGCUAGAACGUCGGAGAGGUAAGUGGAAUUCCGAGUGUAGAGGUGAAAUUCGUAGAUAUUCGGAAGAACACCAGUGGCGAAGGCGACUUACUGGACGACUGUUGACGCUGAGGUGCGAAAGCGUGGGAGCAAACAGGAUUAGAUACCCUGGUAGUCCACGCCGUAAACGAUGAUGACUAGCUGUCGGGGCUCAUGGAGUUUCGGUGGCGCAGCUAACGCGUUAAGUCAU